AUUAACUGAACUAAGUCUGGAAUCAUUGUGCUCUUGAUUAGGCUUAAAUCAAUUUUCUUCUUGUUGUGGAGUAGAAUCAUAUAGAUAGAUAGAGUUAGAUGUAGAAAGGUUUUAGAGACCUCCAACCUUUUAAUUUUCUAGAUCUCCAGAAACUGAGACCCAGAGAGUUUAAGUAACUCAUUCUGGGUCACACAAUAUAUCAGAGGCAAAAUUUGAACCCAAGAUUUCUGACUCAGAGAGAGUGCUCUGUUCAGUCUGCCAUAGUACAGUGCCCCCUUCUCCUGAAAGAGAAGGUACUGAUAGUGAAUUCAAGUCAUUUACCAUACAUUGAAUUAAAAAAAAAAAACAUGUAUUAAGUGUCUAUUUAAUAAAUGGAAUAACAAAUGUUAGAUUUGGAGUCAUGAAGAUAGAAGGUUCAAAUCCCACCUGAGACAGUUAUAUUAACUGUGUCACCUUGGAUAAGUCAACUAGCCUCUUGUGUCUCAGUUUCCUCAGGGUUUUGAACUCUUGCUUCUGUGGUUCCUUCCAGGGCUAAAUAUGUGGUCCACACUUGUACAAAGAGUGCCUUAUGCAUGAGAAUAUAUAAAAUUUAGUUAAGAUUUAACAGCCUCUGUCUUUAUGAAACUUAGAGUCUAGUAGAGGGACCUGGUAGACUACAGAAACAAUUUUAAUUCAAACAAAUAUGUCACAAGUAUUUAAGAGAUGGGCAAACAAAGCAGCACUAUGUGAGAUUUAAGAAGAACUUUAUUGCCUGAGAGGGAUCAAGACAGGUCCCUUGGAGAAAAUGAGAUUGAGUUGGAUUUUAAAAAGUUGGAUUGAGGUGAGUGGUUGGAGAGGGGGUUGGUGGUGGUAGGUAAAGGGAGAGACCAAGCAAGGGGAUGGUUGGGAAAAUGUGGCUUUUGCAAAGGUCUGAUUUGGCUGGAACUUAUAAGAUUUUCAGGAGAAUAUGUGUCUGACCAAAGGCUAGAAAGGUAGAUGGGGACAGACUAGUGAAGGGCAUUAUAUGUCAGGGUAAGAAGUUUAAAUUUUAUUUCUUAGAUAAUAGGGAGUCAUUGAAGGGUUUUAGGAAGUGGACAAUCCAGUUGAAAAGGGAGAGAGUAGAGAAUUAGAUCAGGAAGAUAUUUUAAUAGCGUCAUUGUCAUUCAGUUGUGUCUAACUCUUUGUGACCCCAUUUGGAGUUUUCUUGGCAAAGAUAUUGGAGUGCUUUGCCAUUUCCUUCUCUAGUGCAUUUUACAGAUGAGGAAACCGAGGCAAACCAGAUUAAGUGACUUGCCUAGAGUUGCACAGCCAAAAAGUGUCUGAGGCCAGAUAUCUCAGGAAGACGUCUUCAUGACUCCAUUCUGGGCUCUAUCUCCACUGAGCCAGCUACUUCACUAUAGGAAAACCUAUAUGCUGCUGUUUUGGUGAAAAUUUGUUGGAGACAAUAUAUUAAUAUAGAUGUAUUUCUACUUGGAGAAAAAUUUGGAAGAUCAAAGAUCCCUCUGCUAUUCAGAAUAUCUUCUGACCCAAGCAACUUCCACCUUAAUACUUAUAGUAAUGAAACAAAAGACAAAAUUUCACAACAAAGUAAAAUAAAGACAAAUAGUGGAAGUUUAGAGUUUUUCACCUAAACUGAAUUUAGAAAUGUGGAUACACCCUUGGAGAAAUUAUUGGACAAAUUCCACUUUCAAGACUGGUGGUGAAAGGUAAACAAAAGGACACUUCUUGACUUUCCCAGGUUGAGCUUAUGGUUGCCAAAACUCACCCUAAACAUCUAGUCCCAGGGAAUUCAAAUUCCUUCCUGAAAUGAACCAAGUCUUUUAAUCAAGAUAAAGUGAUUUGAUUUUCCAUUCAAGUGAAACUAGGAAUUUCAGAUUAGGACACUAAUAAAAUAUCAAUUAAAAAAAAACAAACAUCAUAGUCCUGUAUACUCCCACAGUAGAAAUGAGGGCUGGUUAUUAAUCUAUGUAACUAGAAGGAUUAUCUAGCCCAACCUCCCUCAUUUUACAGAUAAGCAAACUGAGGCUAAGAUCAAUUAAGUGAUGAUUUGCCCAAGUUCACUUAUUAGAAACAUCACACAUGGAAUUUAAAUUUAGGUCCUCUGUUUUCAAGACUUUCAAGGUACCAGGCUCCUUCUUACUAGAGUUCAUAGGCAGUAGAAAUGGAGAGAAAAGGAUGGACUGGAAAGUUUGAUAGAGAUAGAACUGAUAGGACAUGUUACUGGUUACAGAAGAUGAAAAAGAAAAAUACCAAGAUUUUUAAAAAUCAUAGGUGAGGGGUCCCUGAGAAAAAGAGUGAUGUCAAGCUUGAGAUUUAGGUAGGGAGAUGAGAUAAAGAAUAAUAACUGUUUUUGACACCUUUAAUUUGAGGUAACAGUGGGAUAUCAAGGUGGGGAUGUACUUAUAAAAAUGAAUCGGAGAUAUGGGGGAAUGGAGAGAGGCUAAGGCUGGAGAGAAAGAUUUGGUAGCUAUCAUCUGCAAGAUAAAAUAUAUGGGCAGCCAGGUGGCCUGGAGACAGGAGGUCCUGGGUUCAAAACUGGCCUCAGACACUUUCUUAGCUGUGUGACUCUGGGCAAGUUACUUAACCCCCGUGGCCUAGCCUUUAUCUCUCUUUUGCCUUAAAACCAAAGUAAGGGUUAAAAAAAAGAGAGUGACAUCACCAGUGAUGUCAUUUGUUUCUUUGAGUGAGCACAACAAUCACAAGAAAGAGGAAAAUCAAGAGAAAAGGGAGCAUCCAGUAUCAUUCUAGUCUUUGACUUAGAAGAGGUUUCUGCAAGAUGACCAGAUCGACCAGCAUAAGAUUGCACAAAGCAUAGAGCCAUAACUAGGAAUUUUUGAUUCUGGGAAAAGAGUCCGCCCUCAGACUCCGCCCGCCAAGGUUCCUUUGAGCUCUGUACAUUUCUCCCGUUUGCCAUACAGGAUGCUGGGAGUCACAAUGACUUCAUACCAGGAUCAACUUCCAAGGCAGUUGAAAGUUUUGAGUCUUAUAAGGAAGGGAGCAACUUCUUAUUCAGAUGAGAAAACUGAAGAUGAGAUAGGUUGGCUGAUUCGACUAGGAUCACACAACUGAUAAAUGUCUGACUGAGGCAGUAUUUUUAAAACUCUGUCCUGACUCUAAGGCUAGGUCUCUAUCCACAGUACCAAACUGCUUCCUGGGGUCCACUAGACAAAUUGAACUGAUGAGGAAGAGCAUCCCAGGCAGCUAGAAGAACAAAGGCAAAGAUACCAAAGGACAAAUACUCUAAGAAUGGUUGUACUAUCUAUCAAGAUAGUCUUUGAGGAGAAUCCUUCUCACUCCAAGAUUGUGGUUGAGAGCCCAUAGGAGUUGUGAAUAUAAGGAGAAAAUAAAGCAAGCAUAGGUUGGCUUUUUUUCCUUUUUUUUUUAGGUAUAUGAAUUGUUAUUACUUUAAAACAUGAGUUUGUCUCAAGUGACACAGGCUUAUAAUGUCUAUUUCAUUGGUGAUAUCUAUCUUUUCCUUCUGAAAUGACAUUUGCUAAAUAGAAUGCUUUUUUAAAAAACCCUUAACUUCUAUCUUAGAAUAACUACUGUGUAAUUGGUUCCAAGUCAGAAGAGUGGAAGAGCCCUAGCCAGUGUUGGUGAACCUUUUAGAGACUGAGUGCCCAAACUAUAUCCUGAUGCUGCAUUUGAGCCCUCGCCUUACCCCAGACAGGGGACAGAGGAAAUGCUUCCAAUGUCAUGUAAGAAAUGUCCUCAGGCUCAUGGAGAGGGGAAGGAGAGCAGCCCCCUCAGGCACGUGUCCCUUGGAUUCACCCACAAUUCACCAAUUGUAAGCCAACGGAGGUUAAGUGAUUUUCCCAGGGUCACACAGCUAAGAGGUAUCUGAGACCAGAUAUGAGACCAGGACCUCCCAUCUUUAAGCAUGGCUCCCAAUCCACUAAAUCACCUAACUGUUCUCUCGAUAUGUUUUUAAUCAAAGGAGAAGAAAGUAAAGGAACCAAUGGAGGGAAAAGAGUGAAAGUGUACAGAGAAGGGGGCAGGUGGAUGGCUCAGUGGAUAGAGAGCCAGUCCUAGAGACCAGAGGUCCUGGGUUCGAAGUUGGCCCUAGACACUUCCUAGCUGUGUGACCCUGGGCAAGUCCCUUAACCCCCAUUGCCUAGUCCUUGCUGCCCUUCUGCCUUGGAUUUAAUAUACGAUCCCAAGAUGGACGGUAAGGGUUUAAAAAAAAAUUUUUUUUUAAACAAAGUAUAUGGAGAAAGUACAAACUUUUACUUUGAGACAAGAAAGAAAAUUAUUCUAAAUUGUGAAAAUAAUUCUAUUAAGGGUGUGUUAUUUAAAAAAAAGUUUUAAAAACCAUACCACUUGCUCCACUAAAAUUAAUUGAUUAAAAUUUAUAGACUGAUAUCAGCAUAAAGAGACCAGAAUUGUGAUCAUCUGAGAUGUCACAUAUUAAUAAACUAGCAAAAAACAAAAACAAAAACAAAAGACCCAACAUUUAGAUCAAGAGUUUUUCAUCUUUUUUGUGUCAUAGGCCUCUUUAGGAGUCAAUCUGUAAAAGCCUGUGGACUCUUUCUUGGGACAGUGUUUUUAAAUGAGUAAAAUAAAAUAUAUAGGAUUACCGAGGAAGCCAAUUAUAGUGAAAUACAGUUAUUAAACUAUUAAGAAAAAACAAUCAAGUUCACAGACUCCAUGUUAAGAACCUCUGAUUUAGAACCAUAGAGAAUUAAGUCAGUUGAAAAUAGAGAAUUAAGUCAGUUGAAAAUGAUAAAAGCAGGUACUAGACUGUGAAACUGCUUUUUUUAAGGACAUUUAAUUUCACAUAUGGAAAAACAUCCUAUAUAUACACUUGGUGAACACACAUUUAUUAAGCUCUUAUUAUGUGCCAAAUUCAGUGAAAAAUACUGUGAAUAAAAUAAAGGCCAUGCCUGUCAUGAGCUCACUUUCUGAUGGGGAAGAUAAACACAAAAAGAACUAGGUAUGUAUAAGACAUGCACAGAGUAGAUGGAAGAUUCUUAUAUGCAUAUAUAUACAUAUAUAUAUAUGUAUACUUGG